GACGAGGGGUCCUAGCGUUGUUCGGAAUCAUUGGGCGUAAAGCGUGUGUAGGCUGCCAUUCAAGUCAGUUGUGAAAUCCCCGGGCUCAACCCGGGAAGUGCUUCUGAUACUGUUUGGCUUGAGUACUGGAGAGGAUAGUAGAAUUCCUGGUGUAGUGGUGAAAUACGUAGAUAUCAGGAGGAAUACCGGUGGCGAAGGCGGCUAUCUGGCCAUGUACUGACGCUGAGACACGAAAGCGUGGGGAGCAAACAGG
rnacentral:rRNA from 1 species